UACGGAGGGUGCAAGCGUUAUCCGGAUUCACUGGGUUUAAAGGGUGCGUAGGUGGGUAUGUAAGUCAGUGGUGAAAUCCCCGAGCUUAACUCAGAAACUGCCAUGGAUACUAUUUGUCUUGAAUGUUGUGGAGGUAAGCGGAAUAUGUCAUGUAGCGGUGAAAUGCUUAGAUAUGACAUAGAACACCAAUUGCGAAGGCAGCUUACUACACAAAUAUUGACGCUGAGGCACGAAAGCGUGGGGAUCAAACAGG
rnacentral:rRNA from 1 species